UCUGUCUAAAAUUUUUACAAGCCUGUACAAGCCAUUUUGCACUAGACAUCAUCGUUUUUUUUCAUCUACUGUAAAUCUUUAUGAAGAUUUUUUAUUCCUCUUAUGUCAUUACCUGUUAUCCAGUUGUUCCGGUAAACCACCAAUCGACAUAAGGAAAGUGACAGUUUGAAAGUGAAGCUUGAAGGCUCGCUGAUCCAACUCAUUUUGUCUUACAAUAAAUAGUCAAUACUAAGUCACAACCAUUUUUAAUUUUGUUUUUAUUCUCUCUAUCUCUCUUCCUCUCUCUCUUUUUCUCUUUCUCCCUUCUUCUUCUUCUUCUUCUUCUUCUCUAUUUAUCUGUCCAUUUAAAUUUUUCCCAAGCACAUUUGUUUCAGGAUAACAAACAAAUCAUCUUUAGUGUUCUUUUUUUAUUGUAAUUUUGUUGCAACUAGGAUCUCCAUUCAAACAUCUUUCCUACUCUUGCUUACAUAACAAUUGUUUCAUCUCUUAAAACAAAUCUGAUACCUUCCAUUAAUUCACUGCUUUCUUUUGGAAACCAAGGUGUUCAUCGAAUCAUCCUUUUCUCUCAAUAGUAUAUAAAGUGUCUCCAACCUUCAAAAAACAAUGGAUAAAGAUACACUGCAAAAACAAAUUGAAAACAUGAGAAUUCAAGCACAAAUGGAGCGAUGGCCUCUUUCUAAGUCAAUUCAAGCAUUGCGGGAUUAUAUCGAAGAGAAUGAGCCAAUUGAUCCAUUGAUUCAUGCGCCGGACAAGAAAAACAAUCCAUGGGCUGAAAAAGGAAAAUGCAAUGUAAUGUAACAAUCGGUUAAAAUCUAACAACUUUUAACUUUGACCAAUUUUCACACCAAAACCAACACAUCUACCACCACCAACAACUCUGUCUACAACUGCUUCUACUAUUACUUCUACGAUAAUUAUAAUUAUUAUUAUUAACGACACAUUAUUAAUAAUCCAUUUUUAACAACCAAAAAAGGACAAACCAAACUAUUCAGAUUCAAUUACCUCCGUUAGGAUGUUUCCUUUCAAUUCAUGUGGAAAGAUAACCGAUAUGCGAAGUACAGUAAUUCAUCAGAUCCAUCAUUUCUCAACAAAAUUAAAAACAUCAUUUGAAUCUUCAUUAGACCUCACUUCCUAAGACAAAAGAACCUUCAUAAAGACCUUCCUUCACUUUUCAUUUUUUUCCUAUCUAAAUUAUGAAAUGAGAUUGCUUCUAAUAAAUAAAGGUUAAAUAACU